rnacentral:rRNA from 1 species
GACGAACGCUGGCGGCGUGCCUAAUACAUGCAAGUCGAACGCACAGUUUAUACCGUAGCUUGCUACACCAUAGACUGUGAGUUGCGAACGGGUGAGUAACGCGUAGGUAACCUGCCUGGUAGCGGGGGAUAACUAUUGGAAACGCUAGCUAAUACCGCAUAAUAUUAAUUAUUGCUUGAUACUUAAUUUAAAGGUGCAAUUGCACCACUACCAGAUGGACCUGCGUUGUAUUAGCUAGUAGGUGAGGUAACGGCUCCACUAGGCGACGAUACAUAGCCGACCUGAGAGGGUGAUCGGCCACACUGGGACUGAGACACGGCCCAGACUCCUACGGGAGGCAGCAGUAGGGAAUCUUCGGCAAUGGACGAAAGUCUGACCGAGCAACGCCGCGGGAGGUAAGAAGGUUUUCGGGUCGUAAAGCUCUGUUGUAAGAGAAGAACGGGUGUGAGAGUGGAAAGUUCACACUGUGACGGUAUCUUACCAGAAAGGGACGGCUAACUACGUG